GAUGAACGCUGGCGGCGUGCCUAAUACAUGCAAGUCGAGCGAACAGACGAGGAGCUUGCUCCUCUGACGUUAGCGGCGGACGGGUGAGUAACACGUGGAUAACCUACCUAUAAGACUGGGAUAACUUCGGGAAACCGGAGCUAAUACCGGAUAAUAUAUUGAACCGCAUGGUUCAAUAGUGAAAGACGGUUUUGCUGUCACUUAUAGAUGGAUCCGCGCCGCAUUAGCUAGUUGGUAAGGUAACGGCUUACCAAGGCAACGAUGCGUAGCCGACCCGAGAGGGUGAUCGGCCACACUGGAACUGAGGCACGGUCCAGACUCCUACGGGAGGCAGCAGUAGGGAAUCUUCCGCAAUGGGCGAAAGCUUGACGGAGCAACGCCGCGUGAGUGAUGAAGGUCUUCGGAUCGUAAAACUCUGUUAUUAGGGAAGAACAAAUGUGUAAGUAACUAUGCACGUCUUGACGGUACCUAAUCAGAAAGCCACGGCUAACUACGUG
rnacentral:rRNA from 1 species